UCAAAAUGUGCCGCGAAUUUAUCAUAAUGAUAAAUUCGGACGUGUUUAAGAAUUUACUCAUAUAGUAAAUUCAAAGGUGGAGCUCAUGUUGGAGUUUUGACCUUCAGGCGAGACUUUUUUUAUUUAUUGGUUUACGGAUUUGACUUUAAAAAUAAGAGGUCGGUAGGUCGGAAAAAAAUUUAAAAAAAAAACGAACUGAGUAUAAAUGAGAACCGAAAUUAAUAAUCUUUAUAAAAUUUUUUAACGUCAAUUUCAAAAAAACGCAAAAAACGUGGCUAAUCUACAUAUUGAUUGUCACAACGAUAACAUGAGCCAGCAGUACCUAGAGUCAAAGUUCACUUGAAGUGUACUUCAUGUCAGAACCCCAAAUUAAUUAAAAUUAACUAAAAUUGUAAAAUUUUUGACAUUUUUUUAUUUUUAUUUUUCACUUUCUGAAUAUUUACGGUAGGCGGAUCCGUAAACCAAUGAAUAAAAAAAGUCUCGCCUCAGAGGAGGACCUUGGUUGAAUUUGUUGUAUAUUUUAUUUUCAAAAACCUUUAAAAAACGGACACUUACCAAGUUUCCAGCGGAGGUAGCUGCGUAGCAGACGGUUUUUUGGGGGAGGACUUGCGUAGUUCUCCCGCUCUAAAUUUCCAAACCGUCUGCUGGGCAGGCUGCAGCGGAGGAGGCUGCAUUUUGCUGCUUUGUCCCUUCACUGUCUGGUACUAGAGAUGUUCCAUUCACUAAGUUAUAUUCCACGCUCUCAGAAAUAGAGAAAAACCUCUGGCACACCAGCCAGCAAAUCGCAUUCUGUCAAGGAAUCUAAUUAGGAGUAAAGAACUAAUGAGAAUCAACUGCAAUGGGAUUUGAGCAAUUUUAGGCGAAUUUUUAAAAUUUAAUUGUACUUCGAAUUAAUUGUAAUUGUACAUUAAUUUUACUAAAUAUAAAAAUAUAAUGAAUUUUAAUCUUGGA